rnacentral:rRNA from 1 species
AUGGCAGCUGAAACCGAUCACCGCCGACGCGCUUAUCACGUCGUGCUGUUCCCGUUCAUGGCUCAGGGCCACCUCGCGCCGUUCCGCUGCCUCGCCGCCCUCGUGCGCCGCUGCCGGCCGGACGCCCGGGUCACCUUCGUCGCCACCUCCUGCACGGCCGAAUCCCUCCGCGCCCACCUCGACGACGAAGGCAUCGCCGUCCACGCCCUCCCCUUCAGCCCCGCCAAUGCCAGCGUCCGCUCCUUCCAGCAGCUCAUCGACCUCUUCCACGCCUCCGAGUCACUCCGCCCGGCGUUCCACCAGUUCAUCGUGGAACUCAGACGCUCCGACCCCCUCGCCGACGUGCACGUCGUGGCGGACAUGUUCCUGGCCUGA